UUUCAUUUCCUCUCAACACAACACAAACAUUUCUCUCAUACUCCUUCAUCCUCUCCCAUGGUACCCACUCCAAAUCAACAUCUCCACCAUCAUUUUUCCGGCAAGAUCACUGGAAAAUUGUUGUGAACCCAUAAACACCUUCACAUCUUUUUUUUGAGGUUCUAGCUAAUCUUCUUGGAGCUUGGAGAAUUAUGAUUUUGCGGUUGCGAGAUGGCUCAAAUGCAGCUGUUAUGAGACCAUAGAAAUAUCUCAAUGUGGUUAUUGAUGUGCCAUAAAGACAAGUAGAGAAGCAGCUGCCACAUAAGAGUGGAGCUCUGAAUUUGACUAUUGAUGUGCUAUACAGAGAAGUAGAGAAGCAACUGCCACAUAAGCAUGGAGCUAUUCUGAGCUCAAGGGGUGUUGCAAACUGGUGAAAGGCAGCUUUCUGGAAACCAGAAGCAUCAUGUGGAUCAGAUAACGAUGACAGUGUGGCACUUGCUGGGCACCUUGUAGAAGUGAAUGAUUCUGGCAUUUGAUGCUCAAGUCUUCUGUCAAGUUUGCCCACUGCUUGGAUUAGAGGGAGAGAGCUACAGAAGGUCAAUUUUUGGAGGGGCUCUGGUGUUUGAGAAACAAGAAUGGCUUA